rnacentral:misc_RNA from 1 species
GAUGAAGAACGCAGCGAAAUGCGAUACGUAAUGUGAAUUGCAGAAUUCAGUGAAUCAUCGAAUCUUUGAACGCAUAUUGCGCUCUCUGGUAUUCCGGAGAGCAUGCUUGUUUGAGUAUCAGUAAACACCUCAACUCCCCUUUCUUUUUUGAAAUGGGAGCUGGACUUGAGUGAUCCCAACGCUUUUCUCACCGAAAAGUGGCGGGUUACUUGAAAUGCAGGUGCAGCUGGACUUUUCUCUGAGCUAAAAGCAUAUCUAUUUAGUCUGCCUAAAAACAGAUUAUUACCUUUGCUGCAGCUAACAUAAAGGAGAUUAGUUCUUGUGCUGACUGAUGCAGGAUUCACAGAGACAGCUUCGGCUGGCCUUUGUAAACUCGACCUCAAAUCAAGUAAGACUACCCGCUGAACUUAAGCAUAUCAAUAAGCGGAGGA